CGGRCAGAGCCCGUGAAUCCGGGCCGGCGAAUUCAGGACCGAUAGGUGUGCCUCUUGUAGGUUGCGUUUGUCGGUUUGAUGUUUCGUCGGCCGUAUUAAGUUUGGACGUUGCGACCCGUUUGGUGUUGGUUUUCUAAAGGGCUGACGUACAGUUCGCCAGUUUGAUUCGUUUCGGCGGCUCACAUUGGCGAUACGUUAGUUCCGAGCUAACUAGCCCGACGGUAUAAGAAUGGUGUCCGACGAUGGGACUUGUCCCGGUCGUCGGUACCGGUCGGUAACGAUUAUUCGGGCCUCUUUCCGACCCGUCUUGAAACACGGACCAAGGAGUCUAACGUGUGCGCGAGUCAUAGGGUGUCGCCGACUGGUGCAACUUGUUGCAUCAGUCGGCGUUAUACAAACGAAACCCGACUCUAGGCGUAAUGAAAGUAAAAUUAUGUGCUUCGGCACAAUUGGGAAGAUAGCGUUCCGAGUACACAAUCUAGACUCGAUCUAGACCGGACGUUCGCAUUCCCGGGGCGUCCCUUCAGUCCGGCGGUGUACUACUUCGGUGGUGCGCCGUUGAACUGGGGCGCACUCGUAGCGUACACGUUGGUACCCGAAAGAUGGUGAACUAUGCCCGGCCAGGAUGAAGUCAGGGGAAACCCUGAUGGAGGUCCGCAGCGAUUCUGACGUGCAAAUCGAUCGUCU
rnacentral:rRNA from 1 species